CGAAAACGUACGUCUCAGUUCGGAUUGGAGUCUGCAACUCGACUCCAUGAAGCUGGAUUCGCUAGUAAUCGCGCAUCAGCCAUGGCGCGGUGAAUACGUUCCCGGGCCUUGUACACACCGCCCGUCAAGCCAUGGAAGCCGGGGGUGCCUGAAGUGCGUGACCGCAAGGAGCGCCCUAAGGUAAAACCGGUGACUGGGGCUAAGUCGUAACAAGGUAGC
rnacentral:rRNA from 1 species